rnacentral:rRNA from 1 species
AACGAACGCUGGCGGCAGGCCUAACACAUGCAAGUCGAGCGAGGACUUCGGUCCUAGCGGCGGACGGGUGAGUAACGCGUGGGAACGUGCCCUUUGCUUCGGAAUAGCCCUGGGAAACUGGGAGUAAUACCGGAUGAGCCCUUUGGGGGAAAGAUUUAUCGGCGAAGGAUCGGCCCGCGCUGGAUUAGGUAGUUGGUGGGGUAAUGGCCUACCAAGCCGACGAUCCAUAGCUGGUUUGAGAGGAUGAUCAGCCACACUGGGACUGAGACACGGCCCAGACUCCUACGGGAGGCAGCAGUGGGGAAUCUUAGACAAUGGGGGAAACCCUGAUCUAGCCAUGCCGCGUGAGCGAUGAAGGCCUUAGGGUUGUAAAGCUCUUUCAGCUGGGAAGAUAAUGACGGUACCAGCAGAAGAAGCCCCGGCUAACUCCGUG